rnacentral:piRNA from 1 species
UGGGAAUUGAACCUGGUCCUCUGGAAGA